UGCUUUAUUAUUGUUACUUAGGCAUAGGCUAAUUCUGAGUUCUGAACCAACUCUUUCAUCAGUUCACAGUGUGGUCCUGACAAGCCACUUCCCUUCAGCCUCAGUUUUCUCCAUAAAACCAAAGGAUGGAUUAGAAUGAUCUUAACUGUCCUUCCAGGGCUAACGUUGCCUGAUUCUAGAUUCCCAGAAAAGGACAGAAGGGAAGCAAAGAUAGUCACAAAAAAUAAGACGCUAAAAGGAAUUAUAGGUGUCACAGGACACAGAGGAGCCAGACUGAAGGGUUCCUGGUGGCCAAAUCGGGCAGUUUGAGCAUCAAAAUAAUUAGGUACUGUAAUGAAUUAAAACCAUUACAAAAACAGUAACUCAAAGUCGGAAGUAAAUGAGAUCGUGAGGAGAGCUCUUGCUUGUACCAGAAUGCCGAGGGCCAGACGGUUAAAUGUAGAAUGAGUGCUGAAGUUGGAAAAUCGUGAUUUUCACAGUAAAGAUUCCAUCAGUGGGUGCUAAAUCCAGGGAGAAAUUUUGAUGAAGAGCAGAACAUUUGCAUUGUCUUCAAGAGUCUCCCCAUGGACUGCUUACAAGUUACAAGGUAGAAAAAAAACCAACCAACCAAAACCCAGUAAUUAUGAAGUGGAGAAACAGGGCAAGGUCUUCAUUGAAUGAUCAAAAUUAACAUCGCCAAUAAGGGACAGAUGGAUAGCACACGCCUUCAGAUGUGAUACCCUGAAGGAGACACAUCACCGUGGGGAUGCAGAGGAAGAAGGAUGAAGGAAGGGGAGAAGAAUAUUCUUUGAGUACCAACUGUGUUCCAGGCACUGUUCUAGGUGCUGGGAGGUCAGUCGUCGUCCACAUGGAAAUUGCUGGGGGGAGGGGCUGCCUGACAAAAGCAAACCAAUAGAGAAGUACACGAUGAUUCCAGGCCACAUCCCCAUCCUGACCUGGUACUUCCUGUGACCACCAACAGGCUGGAAUUCUGGGCUCAUCCCGAGACCAGGGUUCAAGAAACUGGCUGCUCAGGUCCCCAGUGGUUUGCACACAUCUAGAUGAUGCACCAUGGUCAGACUGGGGUGGAGUGAAAAGUGAACCCUACUUGGAAAGAUUACAGUUCCUGUCUCCAGUCCCCAUGGUAUGACAGACUUCUGCACUUGACUGUGUAUUUGAAAGAAGGGUAGCAGCAUGAUUUUAAAGACAAAGAAGCAGAACCUAAGCUUAUAAUCCAAACAUGGCAGGUGGAUUGGCGUGCCCAGGAGGGGCCCUUGGCAGAAGUGAGAGCAGUGAGAAAGAUCUCUGAACACCUUCCUGCUCCCUCCCAUCUCGGCUUAAUGUGGCUCCAGGAGCUGAGCAGUGACAGAGACAUACCUAAUCACACCUGUCCAGCACAUGAAGAGCUGUUUGCCAACAGAGCGAGAAGACAAGAUUUUAAUCUUCAUUUUUUAAAUCCUUGGGGAUAAAGCAAAUGACCCUGGAUUAAAAGCAGCAGGAAGGAUCUGGGCUCCAAAUCAGAGAAGAAUUGCCAAACCGGCAGUGAGAACGCGGAACCCGGGCAUGACCCGGCAGGAGCCGUGGGACAAGCCCCUACUGGGAAGUCCUGAGCACAAAGGCAAUUCCUGAGUCAGCUGGAUUUAUGGGCCGAGCCUAACCCUGGAGGGAUGGCCUACCAUGGUUGCCGGGCCAGGCUUCGUGGAGAAGGAAAGGAGACGCUCACACCUUCAGUAAAGAGGGCAUGCGGGGUCCCUAAGAGCCAGCCUUCUCCCCGCUUCUGUGGUCCUGAGCAGCCGCUGUGGUGUGAGUCACUCCAUGAUGUCUCCUGAGUUUCAGUAUGGCUGGCUUCUGGAUUGUGGCCACAUGUGUCUGGAGAACUAUGUUCCUGGUUCAAGUCCCAGAGAAAGGCAGGAAGGUAGGUGGACCCAGGUGGCUAAGGACGAGUUUGGGCUGGGCACAGGAUGGGGAGAUCAGGUGGUAAAUUACUCCGAGCUCUUAGCUGCAAACAACAGACCCCGCUGUGGUGAGUGUGAACAGAAAAGCCUUUCGGGAGCCCCUGAGAAUCGCUGUGAGGACGCCAGGCCAGGUUGGAGAGCUGGGACAAGGCAGAGCUGCUGUGAGGAGACGUCACUGCCAUCCCGAUGGAGUGUGGGCCACGUGUGGCUGCUUGCAGGGCUGUUGCUGCCUGGGGCAGUGGGGGCUUCUGACACCCUCCCCCCAAACUGGCCCUAACUUCCCAACUCGUGAUCGGUGGACACCAGUCACACGUCUAUGCCCCUACUGCAAAGGAAGCUGGGAAGGAAUACGGAACGCAUCGUUUCCCAAAAGAAUGGGACCCACGUGCUCCAGGUGCAGCCUUGUCAGCCACCCCAAGGUCCCUUUUUCUCCCUCAGAGGCCCAAUUACAGUAAGUUCCCAGAUUUUUGCUUUUCUCACCCAAAUGAAGGACAAGCAGUUCUGGGGAAAGCUUUCAUUCUGGAGCGGGCUUGUAGGCUUGAGAGUCCCCGGUGAAGGGUUGCUGCUGCUGCCCUCUGGUGGUAAUGUGUGUAUAUGCACAAAUUCCUAAUCUGGGAAACGCUUGGUAACAUACUGCAUUUCAAUUAUGAUAAUAAUUUAUUGCUACUCUUCUAGGCAAGAGGGAUACAAAGACGAAACAUAGUUCUUGCCCUUUAACAACUUUAAGAACUCACAGCUUUUAGAAAGUGAAAGGGAGAUAGCUCGAAUACAGUGUAACGUGAGAAGUUAUAAUAAAAAACAACUCCCAGGGCACCUGGGUGGCUCAGUAGGUUAAACAUCCGGCUUCAGCUCAGGUCAAGAUGUCACGGUUCGUGAGUUCAAGACCGGCAUCGGGCUCUGUGCUGACAGCUCGGAGCCUGGAGCCUGCUUCAGAUUCUGGGUUUCCCUCUCUCUCUGCCC